rnacentral:rRNA from 1 species
AGCAGCCGCGGUAAUUCCAGCUCCAAUAGCGUAUAUUAAAGUUGUUGCAGUUAAAAAGCUCGUAGUUGAAUUUCGGGGUCAGUGAGUUGGUCGUGCCACUGGUAUGCACUGGCUUUACUGAUUCCUCCUUCUUGAAGAACUGUAAUGCUAUUAAUUUAGUGUUGCAGGGAAACAGGACUGUUACUUUGAAAAAUUAGAGUGUUUAAAGCAGGCUAACGCUUGAAUACAUUAGCAUGGAAUAAUGAAAUAGGACGUUUGAUCCUAUUUUGUUGGUUUCUAGGAUUGACGUAAUGAUUAAUAGGGAUAGUUGGGGGCAUUAGUAUUCAAUUGUCAGAGGUGAAAUUCUUGGAUUUAUUGAAGACUAACUACUGCGAAAGCAUUUGCCAAGGAUGUUUUCAUUAAUCAAGAACGAAAGUUAGGGGAUCGAAGACGAUCAGAUACCGUCGUAGU